rnacentral:lncRNA from 1 species
AGUGCGUUGGAUAGCAACAACUUCGGAGGUCCCCAGAUUGCAGAGGGAGACGUGGACGUGAGUGGAGCGGGGCGGUCCCCAGCACACUAGAGGAAGUCGUGCUACCCCCGCGGAGUUGUCGUGUGUUCUGGAUUCAUUCCGGCACCACCAUGUCGAAGGUUUCCUUUAAGAUCACGCUGACGUCGGACCCACGGCUGCCGUACAAAGUACUCAGUGUUCCUGAAAGUACACCUUUCACAGCAGUCUUAAAGUUUGCAGCAGAAGAAAUGGAAUAGGAAUAAAUCCUGCACAGACUGCUGGAAAUGUUUUUCUAAAACAUGGUUCAGAACUGCGGAUUAUUCCUAGAGAUCGUGUUGGAAGUUGUUAAUAUCUGCUACUUGGAACAUACGAUUGCCUUUCAGAAUAAAUAUUGGUAUUUUUUGUUGUUGUAAAAUUGAAAUCAGGCAUUUAACAUACUAUGAAAACACCAGGAGUCAAUGAUUAAUGAAAGGUGACUCAUCUGUCCCUUUUUGUUGUCCAUACUCUUCCUAUGAAGAGGGAAUGCGUAUGAAUUAAGGCUACUACUGUCACAGAAGAUCAUAGUCUUUGAUGCUACCUCACAACACAAACAGGUAGUUCGUUGGGGGCAAAUGAAUUAGCCAACUGUUAACUGGAAGCUUUUGAUAAUUUUUUUUUUUAGAACAAUUUGGAACAUUAAAAUUUACUGAAUCGUAUAUAUUCAUCUGAGAUAAAAAUAUAAAAAGAAUUAUGGACCCUGGAUGGCAAUUUGCUUGAUAGCAUCUGAUUUGCAGACUCAUAAUUUGAUUUUUAAUUAAAUAUAUAGGUUGUGAUGAAGUGAAUAGACAUAUCAGUGAACAGUUAACUAUAUUAAAUUUUUAUCAUUUACUUUUUUUAAGAUUCAGACCUCAGUUAUAUAAAUUUCAGUUUAAUAUCAACCAAAAAAUUAAAAUUUUAAUCUAACCCUUAUGUGUAUAAAUUGGUGUCCCAUACCAGCUUUUAAUGGUGGACCUAUAGAAUCCAGUACUUUUAAUGGUGGGAAUUUACAGUAGAAGCAUCCUUUGCUGAGUUAUACAUUCCUUUAUCAAUCUCUUUUGAUACAACAUUUAAAACAAGUAGCUUCAAGAAACCACUGGUGUUUUGAGGAUAGUAUUUCUAAAUAGCAUUCAGGAACAGAGUAUUAUUGCACAGAUCUGAAGAUCAAAAAAAAGCUCAAGGAAAUACAGAUCGGAAGUGCUGAUGAGUUAUAUUUAUUGAAAACCCAACUUUUAAGGAAGUGCUAAGAUCAGUCACCCAUGUGAAUAAGAAGCCAGGAAAGGAAAGAUGGGGAAGCCCAGAUCACCAGGCUUCUAUUAAGGAGGAAAGCAACAGAGGAAACAGUGAAGGGGAACAGAAGGGGGUAGCAAAGUGUUACAGAAAAGCGGACUGGAUAGACAAAACUGCAGAAGGUGUAUGUUGGGGAGAACUGAAAGGGAAAACAAAAUACUUGACAUAGUCUUAAGUAGAAGAAGGCAGUUAGAGAAAACAAAGUAUCUACUGGCCUUGUCAACAUACAGACUUCAAAAUACCCCUUAUGAGAAUCCAAAGAAUGAUGUGUGUAAGGGAAGAUUUUAUUUGCCCUUCCGGAAGAAAUCAGUAUCUAUGCAAAUCUUGAAAGACGAAAUCAAAGCCCAUUAAUGAUUCAGAAUCAGUGCUUGACCUCCUGUAUUCUGAAUGGUGAACUCUGGAAGCAGGGAUUGUGUCUGGCUCUUUUUAGAGCUGGAAAUGUAGUGGCUUUCAUUAAAUACUUGCUGUAAAGUCUUUCUAAGACCAAUUAUUAUCUUAGCAUGUUUCAGUAUCUUCUCUAUCAUAGGCCCUAAGUUCAUUGGGGGAAAAAAAAUAAGAAGAUUCAACAGAAUCAGCAUUUGAAGUGUACCAUUGGUAGUUGUUUAUGAAAUUACCAGAUAUUCAUAAAUGUGACAAAUGAACAGCAGGAUUAUGAAUUAUCAAAGGAAAAAGUAUUUGCUGAGGUGAAAAAAUCUGAUGUUUGAGGAAGUUUUUAUUUUUAUUUAUUUGUUUUGUUUUUUUUUUUUUGAGGCAGACUCUCUGUCGCCAGGCUUCUCCUGCCUCAGCCUCACGAGUAGCUGGGACUACAGGCAUGCACCACCACGCCCAGCUAAUUUUUGUAUUUUUAGCAGAGACAGGGAGGAAGUUUUUAUUUUUAUAAACAAAAUCUGAUGUUCAGAGGCCCCGUUUCUUACAAUAAAUGUUGAGUCUUAGUUAAGCAGGAAUUUAUGAACACCCAUUUCCUGACUUUUUGCUUUAAUUUAGAUUUUUCUCCAUCCUGUUUCUAGCACAAAAAUUUGCCUGCUGUGUUACAAAAAUAAAUUUAUGUUGUCCUGUGCCAUAAAGUGAUAUAUUUAAUAUUUUUAUUCUUUGGUUUUGAACAUUGUAAGUUCCUAAAAACAUUUUAUUAAACAAGUAGACAUUUUGUUAUUAAAAAAAUGUGAUCUGUAAUUUCUUUGUGCAGAAUGAUUUGAAGUAUUGUAUUCAGUUUACAUGCGUUAUUGGUUUAUAAUUAAUAUCUAAUGAAAAUACAUGUUGUUAUAUUGUAAACCAU